rnacentral:rRNA from 1 species
UACGAAGGGGGCUAGCGUUGCUCGGAAUCACUGGGCGUAAAGCGCACGUAGGCGGCUUUUUAAGUCAGGGGUGAAAUCCUGGAGCUCAACUCCAGAACUGCCUUUGAUACUGGGAAGCUUGAGUCCGGGAGAGGUGAGUGGAACUCCGAGUGUAGAGGUGAAAUUCGUAGAUAUUCGGAAGAACACCAGUGGCGAAGGCGGCUCACUGGCCCGGUACUGACGCUGAGGUGCGAAAGCGUGGGGAGCAAACAGG